rnacentral:rRNA from 1 species
AUACGGAGGAUCCGAGCGUUAUCCGGAUUUAUUGGGUUUAAAGGGAGCGUAGGUGGAUUGUUAAGUCAGUUGUGAAAGUUUGCGGCUCAACCGUAAAAUUGCAGUUGAAACUGGCAGUCUUGAGUACAGUAGAGGUGGGGGGAAUUCGUGGGGGAGCGGUGAAAUGCUUAGAUAUCACGAAGAACUCCGAUUGCGAAGGCAGCUCACUAGACUGUUACUGACACUGAUGCUCGAAAGUGUGGGUAUCAAACAGGAUUAGAUACCCUGGUAGUCCACACAGUAAACGAUGAAUACUCGCUGUUUGCGAUAUACAGUAAGCGGCCAAGCGAAAGCAUUAAGUAUUCCACCUGGGGAGUACGCCGGCAACGGUGAAACUCAAAUGAAUUGACGGGG